AAUCUGAGGACUGUGUUGUUAACAACGUUGUCAUCAUGUGGAGUCACAGGAAACUCCAAGGGUAUGGAGACUAUGAAGGGCCUGGGGACAUUCUUUGUGAUGGUGGUUGGCUAGUCGGGUGUGAGACCUUCAUGAGACACAAACAACGUUCUGUCUAUGAAGUGUUUGGCUUGUGUCAGUUUAUAGAAAUAACAUCUUCCCUGAGGUGGAAAAGCCUGUAUGGCCCCUAAAGUCACAUAUGUGCCAAGUUUUUUUUCCCAACAUAAUAUUUUUAUUGAUUACUUGGGAAUUUCACAAAAUGCAUCUUGAUCACAUUCAGUUCCCAGUCCUCCUAGGUCAAUUCUCUCACCCUUGUGACCUCUUCCCCCCCCAAAAAAAAGAAGAAAGAAAAGAAAAAAAUUACCAAGUCAGUGCCCAUAUACUCACAGGAACAUGGUCAAACUCCCAGUGGCCAGCCCCUAAAAGAAAACUGAGUCUUCUCCACCCCCACAGCUGCCAGAAGCCAUCAACUUCAAAUAGCUACACUUUAGCAUCCCUACCACAAUUUGUAAGAUUUCUCUUUAAUGGCUUCCUGUGUAAUCUGUUCCUUUUGGGGGGACGGGGCGGGUGGGUUGUCAUAGAAACCUUCUAUGUCCCUCAUUCUCAGCUGUGGGCCUACAGUCAUCGAGACUUCAAAACUCUUCCUUGAUGCUUACAGUCAUCAGUAGCAUGGGCUGUGCACACCCACAUGGCCUCCAAUGUCAGCAUGGUCUCCAGCAGCAGUCCACGGACAUCAACAUAGCCCUGUGCUGUAGCACGAGCCAUGGGUACCAUCGUGGCCCUCAGCGGCAGCGCGGGCCAUGAACACCAACAUGGCUCCUGGUGGCAACAUAAUGUGUCCAGUCUCCAUGUCUACAUCCUUCCUAUUUCCACUCUCAGGCGUGAGGCACAGCAUGUAGCUGCGCCUCCAACCCCUCGCACAGACUGGCUUCCAUCUGAUCCUGAGUUGACUGCAAUCACAGGGACCCAUGCGACUCUUCCAGUAGCCUUGUCAGAAUUUCAGAAAUGCCUUGGAGGCUUCAGAGAAUGGCAAAGUAUUGGAUGGCUCAGAGAAUCCUUGUGAAAGUUGCAACCAACUAGACAUACACCACGAGGCGACUGUAUGGAUAUAUCCAGAGGCUUACCUCUCAGGCUGCAGAGAUCAGGUAACGAGCUCCCCUUUAUCUCCAAUUCAGCACAUGCUGGGAGCGCAGCCUUUCAGUGGUGUUUUUUGAUCUCACAGUGAGAUAAACAUACUCUGAGCCUAACUUCUUAGUUAACACAUUGUAAUGUGGCUGUCAUGACCCAAAUGCUAAUUCUGCUUUUCUACUGAUCUUUUUAAGAGCAUAGUAUGCGCCUUAUUCACCUCUUUGUAACAUGAUGAUUUAGCUACCACCCAACAUGGAAUAGGUUCUGGUGUGUGUUUCAUUCUAGAGUUUAAACCAUCAUCUACAAUUUAAUCUCUCCAUUGGGAACUUUUCUACAUGGAUAAAGAAACCCACAGACGCUACACUGCCAUGGAGAGAAAUCCUGCUAUGCCUGUUCCCCAGGUGGCAGAACUCUUUAUUCUUUAAUAGUUAACAGUGUAGAGAUGCACUUCUACACCCACAUGCACACACACACACACACACACACACACACACACACUCCACUCACAUACACAGUCACAGAUACAUAGAUAGGUGCGCACACACAGAGACACAUAGAAACACAUUUGAGCAUACACACACACACACACACACACACACACACACACUCCACACUUAUACAGUCAUACAUACAUAGAUAGGUACACACACUUUUAGCACACACACACACACACACAUCCUACACUUACACUCAGUCACAGAUGCAUAGAUAGGGGCGUAUACACAUUUUUAGCACACAGAAACACAUUUGAGCACACACAUACACACAUUCCACACUUAUACAGUCAUACAUACAUAGAUAGGUACACACACUUUUAGCACACAUGCACACACACACACCCUACACUUACACACAGUCACAGAUACAUAGAUAGGUGCACACACACAGAGACACAUAGAAACACAUUUGAGCACACACACACACACACACACAUACUCCACACUUAUACAGUCAUACAUACAUAGAUAGGUACACACACUUUUAGCACACACACACACACACACACACACACACACACACACCCUACACUUACACACAGUCACAGAUGCAUAGAUAGGGGCGUAUACACACUUUUAGCACACAGAAACACAUAGAAAC